rnacentral:rRNA from 1 species
GCAAGUCGAGCGGAAACGAUGAGAAGCUUGCUUCUCAGGCGUCGAGCGGCGGACGGGUGAGUAAUGCUUGGGUAUCUGCCCUGAUGUGGGGGAUAACAACUGGAAACGGUUGCUAAUACCGCAUAAUGUCUACGGACCAAAGAUGGCCUCUUCUUGAAAGCUAUCGCAACAGGAUGAACCCAAGUGGGAUUAGCUAGUAGGUGAGGUAAUGGCUCACCUAGGCGACGAUCCCUAGCUGGUCUGAGAGGAUGAUC